UGUAAGGAAAUAUUGAUGUUUAUAAACUAUAUGGACAUAAAUAUUGGGACACAUGUCUACAGCUGUAAGAUGUCCUGUUUAUAAUGAUUUGAGAUAACAACAUCUAUAUUUCCUUCAAGUAUUAUUUUUAUUCUGUUUUAUGAACAGAC